rnacentral:rRNA from 1 species
CACUAUGCUUAGCCUUAAACAAAAAUACACCAACCAUUCGCCAGGGGACAACGAGCACUAUUUUUUCAGCUUAAAACCCAAAGGACUUGGCGGUGCUUUAUUUCCCUCUAGAGGAGCCUGUUUUAGAAUCGAUACCCCCCGAUCCACCUUACCUUCUUUUGUAUCUCAGCUUAUAUACCACCGUCGUCAGCUUACCCUGCAAGGGAUCAUAAGUAAGCAUAAUUGAUGAACCCCAGCACGUCAGGUCAAGGUGUAGCCAACAAGAAGGAUAAAAUGGGCUACAUUUUCUGACUCAGAAAACAAACGGAAUGCAUACUGAAAACAUGUCUGAAGGAGGAUUUAGUAGUAAGAUUAGAACAGAGUGCUAAUCUGAAGCCGGCUCUAAAGCGUGCACACACCGCCCGUCACCCUCCUUAAUUAAUCCCGCACUUAAUAGAUAAUAUGCCGCAUCGAUUUAACCACACAAGGAGGCAAGUCGUAA